AUGCACAGAGGAAGAGAACAAACUUCAUAUAUCCCUUUUUUACUCAAUCAAGAAACAAGAUCGGACGUGAUUCCGGUUCGUCUCCAUUUUAGUGACACUCUUCCUCAAGCAAGGCAGCCGAUAAGUCAUCGAAGGGUUUGUUUGAAUAAUGGACUGGUAACCAUUACUCAUUUGAAAGUUUCCCACGGUGAUCUAAUAUCUUUUAAAGAAAAUGACACGAGAACCCGCGGUUUUGAAAUAAGGAGAUCUUUAUAUAUCGACAUAUCAGUUGGAAAAAUCCUAGGCAAAUUCCUAUCGGCCAUAUCAGUUGGAAAAAGAAGAGGCAAAUUCCUACCGGCCAGAAUCUGGAGAAGAACAAAAAAAGAAUGGUUCUGCUUACUCACAACUCAGAGGGGAUGCCGCUUACUACUCAAAUCCAAGGAAUUGCAAAAGUUGCGUUCUUAUAUGCAAGAAGAAGACUUUGAAAGAACAAAGAAGUUUGGAUCCGCAAAAGUAUGCUUACGCAGUUCCUUCACUGAGCACAACAGAAUGAAGAGGAAUUCGUUUCAUUUCAAAUACUUCUUCUUAUUGAAAAGGGGGAAGGAGAAAAACUGA
rnacentral:rRNA from 1 species